rnacentral:rRNA from 1 species
UACGAAGGGGGCUAGCGUUGUUCGGAAUUACUGGGCGUAAAGCGCACGUAGGCGGAUCUUUAAGUCAGAGGUGAAAUCCCGGGGCUCAACCCCGGAACUGCCUUUGAUACUGGGGAUCUCGAGUUCGGGAGAGGUGAGCGGAACUGCGAGUGUAGAGGUGAAAUUCGUAGAUAUUCGCAAGAACACCAGUGGCGAAGGCGGCUCACUGGCCCGAUACUGACGCUGAGGUGCGAAAGCGUGGGGAGCAAACAGG